UACGGAGGGUGCAAGCGUUAUCCGGAUUCACUGGGUUUAAAGGGUGCGUAGGUGGAUUUAUAAGUCAGUGGUGAAAGCCCCGAGCUCAACUUGGGAAUUGCCAUUGAUACUGUAGAUCUUGAGUGCGGUUGAGGUAGGCGGAAUAUAUCAUGUAGCGGUGAAAUGCUUAGAUAUGAUAUAGAACACCAAUUGCGAAGGCAGCUUACCAAGCCGAUACUGACACUGAUGCACGAAAGCGUGGGGAUCAAAC
rnacentral:rRNA from 1 species